rnacentral:lncRNA from 1 species
CAACACUGCUGCUUUUCUUUCUUUCUCCUCCCAUAGGGACUCUUCUUACCCACAGCGGGGAUACUGAAAGCUUGUCUCUGAGAAGUUAAUGAGACUCCUGUUUUGUGCACCAUUUGAGCUUUAUUUCAAAUGCCGUUUGGAAGGAUAAACAGCAUUCAGUGGAGAGUGGGUGUACAUAUUUCCUCCUGGUGCCCAGUGACCGCAGGUUUAGGCCUACAAGAAAAGCAUCUGCUCCGGUUGGGUAGAGCAGGAGCCACCAAAGCAGAGGCUGGAAGACAGCCGGUUUAAAAAUGAGAAGUCUUUGUAAAAACUCUGUGAUGCGUUUUUGUUUUUAUUACCAAAAAAUCAAAAUUUGAACAAAUUCCCCUUUCUAUGCAGGUGGUCAAAAAUGAUGGGGGAAAUGCCACCCACACGGCUAAAAAUAGAAGAGAGGAAAUUCAUGAAAAUGUCACCUAAAUACUUUCCAUUGAUUGCUCAGAUUAAAAAAUGUCACUGAGCUCUUGUGUUGCUUUUCUUUGUUUGCUGCACUCUUAGCUCUAACCACUUGCACUACGUGCCGAGGUGGAAGCCAUGCCGUUCUCAGCAUUGCAGCUGCAGGAACAAAUUCUUCAAAUGUACUUUGUUCUUAUCUCGUGUCUUUUGCUUUGAACUAAGUGAAGUCAUGACUGUGAGUGAGCGGCCAGUCCUUGAGUGAGAACAUAUACCUUGCUCCAUCCGAGAGUGGUUUACGUGGUAAAAUUGGGUAUUUGCUAUUCUUCAGCAUCCAGUGAACUCAGCAUGCUCUCACUACACUGAAGAAGUAUCAGCUUUCAUAAGGAAAUCUGUAAUGCAGAAGGAGCUAGUAAACUGGCCUGUCUCAAUUUUAGGUAGGCAUAAGUCAAGGCACUUCAA